AUGUUGAAAGCUUUUGUUCUUUUCCUGCCUCUGUUGUUGUCUCUGUCUCUCUCAUACUGUCUCUGUCUGCCUGUCUGUCCAUCUGUCUGUCUGUCUCUCAAUGUCUUUGUCUCUGUCUGUCUGCCUCUCUCUCUCACUGUCUUUGUCUCUGUCUGCCUGUCUGUCCAUCUGUCUGUCUGUCUCUCAUUGUCUUUGUCUCUGUUUGUCUGCCUCUCUCUCUCAUUGUCUUUGUCUCUGUCUGCCUGUCUGUCUAUCUGUCUGUCUGUCUCUCAUUGUCUUUGCCUCUGUUUGUCUGCCUCUCUCUCUCAUUGUCUUUGUCUCUGUCUGUCUAUCCAUCUGUCUGUCUGUCUCUCAUUGUCUUUGUCUCUGUUUGCCUCUCUCUCUCAUUGUCUUUGUCUCUGUCUGUCUGUCUAUCCAUCUGUCUGUCUGUGUCUCAUUGUCUUUGUCUCUGUUUGUCUGCCUCUCUCUCUCAUUGUCUUUGUCUCUGUCUGCCUGCCUGUCCAUCUGUCUGUCUGUCUCUCAUUGUCUUUGUCUCUGUUUGUCUGCCUCUCUCUCUCAUACUGUCUCUGUCUGCCUGUCUGUCCAUCUGUCUGUCUGUCUCUCAUUGUCUUUGUCUCUGUUUGUCUGCCUCUCUCUCUCAUUGUCUUUGUCUCUGUCUAUCUGUCUAUCCAUCUGUCUGUCUGUGUCUCAUUGUCUUUGUCUCUGUUUGUCUGUCUCUCUCUCUCAUUGUCUUUGUCUCUGUCUGCCUGUCUGUCCAUCUGUCUGUCUGUCUCUCAUUGUCUGUCUCUGUUUGUCUGCCUCUCUCUCUCAUUGUCUUUGUCUCUGUCUGCCUGUCUAUCCAUCUGUCUGUCUGUCUCUCAUUGUCUUUGCCUCUGUUUGUCUGCCUCUCUCUCUCAUUGUCUCUGUCUGUCUGUCUCCCUCCCUCCAUUCUUCCUAUUUCCCUUUCCCUCUUGCUACCUUUCUUUCAUUUGGAGCAAUUUAUCCACAGAAAUUACUAACAAUUUUUAG
rnacentral:lncRNA from 1 species